rnacentral:rRNA from 1 species
GGUUAAGCGACUAAGCGUACACGGUGGAUGCCCUGGCAGUCAGAGGCGAUGAAGGACGUGCUAAUCUGCGAUAAGCGUCGGUAAGGUGAUAUGAACCGUUAUAACCGGCGAUUUCCGAAUGGGGAAACCCAGUGUGAUUCGUCACACUAUCAUUAACUGAAUCCAUAGGUUAAUGAGGCGAACCGGGGGAACUGAAACAUCUAAGUACCCCGAGGAAAAGAAAUCAACCGAGAUUCCCCCAGUAGCGGCGAGCGAACGGGGAGGAGCCCAGAGCCUGAAUCAGUGUGUGUGUUAGUGGAAGCGUCUGGAAAGGCGCGCGAUACAGGGUGACAGCCCCGUACACAAAAAUGCACAUGCUGUGAGCUCGAUGAGUAGGGCGGGACACGUGGUAUCCUGUCUGAAUAUGGGGGGACCAUCCUCCAAGGCUAAAUACUCCUGACUGACCGAUAGUGAACCAGUACCGUGAGGGAAAGGCGAAAAGAACCCCGGCGAGGGGAGUGAAAAAGAACCUGAAACCGUGUACGUACAAGCAGUGGGAGCACGCUUAGGCGUGUGACUGCGUACCUUUUGUAUAAUGGGUCAGCGACUUAUAUUCUGUAGCAAGGUUAACCGAAUAGGGGAGCCGAAGGGAAACCGAGUCUUAACUGGGCGUUAAGUUGCAGGGUAUAGACCCGAAACCCGGUGAUCUAGCCAUGGGCAGGUUGAAGGUUGGGUAACACUAACUGGAGGACCGAACCGACUAAUGUUGAAAAAUUAGCGGAUGACUUGUGGCUGGGGGUGAAAGGCCAAUCAAACCGGGAGAUAGCUGGUUCUCCCCGAAAGCUAUUUAGGUAGCGCCUCGUGAAUUCAUCUCCGGGGGUAGAGCACUGUUUCGGCAAGGGGGUCAUCCCGACUUACCAACCCGAUGCAAACUGCGAAUACCGGAGAAUGUUAUCACGGGAGACACACGGCGGGUGCUAACGUCCGUCGUGAAGAGGGAAACAACCCAGACCGCCAGCUAAGGUCCCAAAGUCAUGGUUAAGUGGGAAACGAUGUGGGAAGGCCCAGACAGCCAGGAUGUUGGCUUAGAAGCAGCCAUCAUUUAAAGAAAGCGUAAUAGCUCACUGGUCGAGUCGGCCUGCGCGGAAGAUGUAACGGGGCUAAACCAUGCACCGAAGCUGCGGCAGCGACGCUUAUGCGUUGUUGGGUAGGGGAGCGUUCUGUAAGCCUGCGAAGGUGUGCUGUGAGGCAUGCUGGAGGUAUCAGAAGUGCGAAUGCUGACAUAAGUAACGAUAAAGCGGGUGAAAAGCCCGCUCGCCGGAAGACCAAGGGUUCCUGUCCAACGUUAAUCGGGGCAGGGUGAGUCGACCCCUAAGGCGAGGCCGAAAGGCGUAGUCGAUGGGAAACAGGUUAAUAUUCCUGUACUUGGUGUUACUGCGAAGGGGGGACGGAGAAGGCUAUGUUGGCCGGGCGACGGUUGUCCCGGUUUAAGCGUGUAGGCUGGUUUUCCAGGCAAAUCCGGAAAAUCAAGGCUGAGGCGUGAUGACGAGGCACUACGGUGCUGAAGCAACAAAUGCCCUGCUUCCAGGAAAAGCCUCUAAGCAUCAGGUAACAUCAAAUCGUACCCCAAACCGACACAGGUGGUCAGGUAGAGAAUACCAAGGCGCUUGAGAGAACUCGGGUGAAGGAACUAGGCAAAAUGGUGCCGUAACUUCGGGAGAAGGCACGCUGAUAUGUAGGUGAAGUCCCUCGCGGAUGGAGCUGAAAUCAGUCGAAGAUACCAGCUGGCUGCAACUGUUUAUUAAAAACACAGCACUGUGCAAACACGAAAGUGGACGUAUACGGUGUGACGCCUGCCCGGUGCCGGAAGGUUAAUUGAUGGGGUCAGCGCAAGCGAAGCUCUUGAUCGAAGCCCCGGUAAACGGCGGCCGUAACUAUAACGGUCCUAAGGUAGCGAAAUUCCUUGUCGGGUAAGUUCCGACCUGCACGAAUGGCGUAAUGAUGGCCAGGCUGUCUCCACCCGAGACUCAGUGAAAUUGAACUCGCUGUGAAGAUGCAGUGUACCCGCGGCAAGACGGAAAGACCCCGUGAACCUUUACUAUAGCUUGACACUGAACAUUGAGCCUUGAUGUGUAGGAUAGGUGGGAGGCUUUGAAGUGUGGACGCCAGUCUGCAUGGAGCCGACCUUGAAAUACCACCCUUUAAUGUUUGAUGUUCUAACGUUGACCCGUAAUCCGGGUUGCGGACAGUGUCUGGUGGGUAGUUUGACUGGGGCGGUCUCCUCCUAAAGAGUAACGGAGGAGCACGAAGGUUGGCUAAUCCUGGUCGGACAUCAGGAGGUUAGUGCAAUGGCAUAAGCCAGCUUGACUGCGAGCGUGACGGCGCGAGCAGGUGCGAAAGCAGGUCAUAGUGAUCCGGUGGUUCUGAAUGGAAGGGCCAUCGCUCAACGGAUAAAAGGUACUCCGGGGAUAACAGGCUGAUACCGCCCAAGAGUUCAUAUCGACGGCGGUGUUUGGCACCUCGAUGUCGGCUCAUCACAUCCUGGGGCUGAAGUAGGUCCCAAGGGUAUGGCUGUUCGCCAUUUAAAGUGGUACGCGAGCUGGGUUUAGAACGUCGUGAGACAGUUCGGUCCCUAUCUGCCGUGGGCGCUGGAGAACUGAGGGGGGCUGCUCCUAGUACGAGAGGACCGGAGUGGACGCAUCACUGGUGUUCGGGUUGUCAUGCCAAUGGCACUGCCCGGUAGCUAAAUGCGGAAGAGAUAAGUGCUGAAAGCAUCUAAGCACGAAACUUGCCCCGAGAUGAGUUCUCCCUGACCCUUUAAGGGUCCUGAAGGAACGUUGAAGACGACGACGUUGAUAGGCCGGGUGUGUAAGCGCAGCGAUGCGUUGAGCUAACCGGUACUAAUGAACCGUGAGGCUUAACCUU